GAUGAACGCUAGCUACAGGCUUAACACAUGCAAGUCGAGGGGCAUCGGGAAGAAAGCUUGCUUUCUUUGCCGGCGACCGGCGCACGGGUGAGUAACACGUAUCCAACCUGCCGAUAACUCGGGGAUAGCCUUUCGAAAGAAAGAUUAAUAUCCGAUAGUAUAUUAAAACCGCAUGGUUUUACUAUUAAAGAAUUUCGGUUAUCGAUGGGGAUGCGUUCCAUUAGUUUGUUGGCGGGGUAACGGCCCACCAAGACUACGAUGGAUAGGGGUUCUGAGAGGAAGGUCCCCCACAUUGGAACUGAGACACGGUCCAAACUCCUACGGGAGGCAGCAGUGAGGAAUAUUGGUCAAUGGACGAGAGUCUGAACCAGCCAAGUAGCGUGAAGGAUGACUGCCCUAUGGGUUGUAAACUUCUUUUAUAUGGGAAUAAAGUAUUCCACGUGUGGAAUUUUGUAUGUACCAUAUGAAUAAGGAUCGGCUAACUCCGUGCCAGCAGCCGCGGUAAUACGGAGGAUCCGAGCGUUAUCCGGAUUUAUUGGGUUUAAAGGGAGCGUAGGUGGAUUGUUAAGUCAGUUGUGAAAGUUUGCGGCUCAACCGUAAAAUUGCAGUUGAAACUGGCAGUCUUGAGUACAGUAGAGGUGGGCGGAAUUCGUGGUGUAGCGGUGAAAUGCUUAGAUAUCACGAAGAACUCCGAUUGCGAAGGCAGCUCACUAGACUGCAACUGACACUGAUGCUCGAAAGUGUGGGUAUCANACAGG
rnacentral:rRNA from 1 species